CCUGAACGUUGGUGUCUGUGUAUGCGUGUCAUCUUUGUGGCAUCACACGUCAACUACACUGAGCGCAUACACCUGCAGCACCUUUGGGACUAAUGACACAAAGGUCAAGGCCAGCCUGGCGACCAUGCUUGCCAAGGAGUAGUGUAAAUAUUUAAUCUGUUUCCAUAAUAGCAUAAGACAAGAAUUUAAGGAAUUCAUGUAUUAUAUCGAGCAAUAAAAACGGUUAAUGCAUUGCC